rnacentral:rRNA from 1 species
GAUGAACGCUGGCGGCGUGCCUAAUACAUGCAAGUCGAGCGAACGGACGAGAAGCUUGCUUCUCUGAUGUUAGCGGCGGACGGGUGAGUAACACGUGGAUAACCUACCUAUAAGACUGGGAUAACUUCGGGAAACCGGAGCUAAUACCGGAUAAUAUUUUGAACCGCAUGGUUCAAAAGUGAAAGACGGUCUUGCUGUCACUUAUAGAUGGAUCCGCGCUGCAUUAGCUAGUUGGUAAGGUAACGGCUUACCAAGGCAACGAUGCAUAGCCGACCUGAGAGGGUGAUCGGCCACACUGGAACUGAGACACGGUCCAGACUCCUACGGGAGGCAGCAGUAGGGAAUCUUCCGCAAUGGGCGAAAGCCUGACGGAGCAACGCCGCGUGAGUGAUGAAGGUCUUCGGAUCGUAAAACUCUGUUAUUAGGGAAGAACAUAUGUGUAAGUAACUGUGCACAUCUUGACGGUACCUAAUCAGAAAGCCACGGCUAACUACGUGCCAGCAGCCGCGGUAAUACGUAGGUGGCAAGCGUUAUCCGGAAUUAUUGGGCGUAAAGCGCGCGUAGGCGGUUUUUUAAGUCUGAUGUGAAAGCCCGCGGCUCAACCGUGGAGGGUCAUUGGAAACUGGAAAACUUGAGUGCAGAAGAGGAAAGUGGAAUUCCACGUGUAGCGGUGAAAUGCGCCAGAGAUAUGGAGGAACACCAGUGGCGAAGGCGACUUUCUGGUCUGUAACUGACGCUGAUGUGCGAAAGCGUGGGGAUCAAACAGGAUUAGAUACCCUGGUAGUCCACGCCGUAAACGAUGAGUGCUAAGUGUUAGGGGGUUUCCGCCCCUUAGUGCUGCAGCUAACGCAUUAAGCACUCCGCCUGGGGAGUACGACCGCAAGGUUGAAACUCAAAGGAAUUGACGGGGACCCGCACAAGCGGUGGAGCAUGUGGUUUAAUUCGAAGCAACGCGAAGAACCUUACCAAAUCUUGACAUCCUUUGACAACUCUAGAGAUAGAGCUUUCCCCUUCGGGGGACAAAGUGACAGGUGGUGCAUGGUUGUCGUCAGCUCGUGUCGUGAGAUGUUGGGUUAAGUCCCGCAACGAGCGCAACCCUUAAGCUUAGUUGCCAUCAUUAAGUUGGGCACUCUAAGUUGACUGCCGGUGACAAACCGGAGGAAGGUGGGGAUGACGUCAAAUCAUCAUGCCCCUUAUGAUUUGGGCUACACACGUGCUACAAUGGACAAUACAAAGGGCAGCGAAACCGUGAGGUCAAGCAAAUCCCAUAAAGUUGUUCUCAGUUCGGAUUGUAGUCUGCAACUCGACUACAUGAAGCUGGAAUCGCUAGUAAUCGUAGAUCAGCAUGCUACGGUGAAUACGUUCCCGGGUCU